UACGUAGGGUGCAAGCGUUUGUCCGGAAUUAUUGGGCGUAAAGAGCUUGUAGGCGGUUUGUCGCGUCUGCUGUGAAAUUUCGGGGCUCAACCCCGAACUUGCAGUGGGUACGGGCAGACUAGAGUGUGGUAGGGGAGACUGGAAUUCCUGGUGUAGCGGUGAAAUGCGCAGAUAUCAGGAGGAACACCGAUGGCGAAGGCAGGUCUCUGGGACGGUACUGACGCUGAGGCGCGAAGGCCAGGGGAGCAAACGGG
rnacentral:rRNA from 1 species